rnacentral:rRNA from 1 species
GACGAACGCUGGCGGCGUGCUUAACACAUGCAAGUCGAACGGAAAGGCCCUGCUUUUGUGGGGUGCUCGAGUGGCGAACGGGUGAGUAACACGUGAGUAACCUGCCCUUGACUUUGGGAUAACUUCAGGAAACUGGGGCUAAUACCGGAUAGGAGCUCCUGCUGCAUGUUGGGGGUUGGAAAGUUUCGGCGGUUGGGGAUGGACUCGCGGCUUAUCAGCUUGUUGGUGGGGUAGUGGCUUACCAAGGCUUUGACGGGUAGCCGGCCUGAGAGGGUGACCGGACACAUUGGGACUGAGAUACGGCCCAGACUCCUACGGGAGGAAGCAGUGGGGAAUAUUGCACAAUGGGCGGAAGCCUGAUGCAGCAACGCCGCGUGCGGGAUGACGGCCUUCGGGUUGUAAACCGCUUUCGCCUGUGACGAAGCGUGAGUGACGGUAAUGGGUAAAGAAGCACCGGCUAACUACGUG